UCCAAGUGAUGAGAAACAUUUUUUCAGUUCUGCUUCUGCAAAAAUCUUGAAGAAAACAAAAUACCUUACCAAAAACUCCUGAUCC
rfam:Aspergillus brasiliensis CBS 101740 unplaced genomic scaffold ASPBRscaffold_18, whole genome shotgun sequence.